GGGCAGGACUGCUGGCAGAUGUAAUUGGUGGAACAGAAGAAAACCCUUUUGUUCCUGUAAAUCCGGACUUUGACAUGUCACUCUGCUCUCCCUGCCCACCCAGCUGCUACUUGUGCUGUCUCUUGAAGGUGCCUGCUUUCCUCUGGAGGUAAGGCCUUUGGCCUGGCUCCUUCUGUGACAGUCCUCUGUGGGACUGUUCUCCUCCAUCCCAGACCCCCGUGCUCCCUUUUAGUGUGGGAGCCAGGAAGCAGCAGCAGCACUGAGCCUUCUCACUUGUGUGCAGCAUUUCCUUCUGCUAGCCGAGGGAGCAGAAAAGCGCUGUCUGAAGGGUUUGUUUUCUUCUCAGCAAGAUUGCUGGAUUUGCAGAGCAGAGGCGAUUGCUGUUCCUUCAAAUAGGAAGCACGUGUUGGGGGAAAGUGAUGGAGACUCAGCUGUCUUCCCCAGGACACUUCUUCAGAGAUGACUUUGACACAGCAUCGAGGCUGAAGCCCUUGGGGAGAUGCUAAGAAAUCAGCUAAGCUGCUAACAUGUCCCAGCAUGCACCAGAUAACAGAGGCUUGAUAAACCCAAAGGGCUCGUUGUUAAACAAGUGCCUGGAGCUGAGCUGAUGCUAGUGGUUGCCAUUAUGCUGGGACCAGGAGGAAAUGAACUGUGUCAACAUGUUUGUGAGUGACUAACUACUGUUUUCUAUGGAACAAAAGAUGUGAGAGGUGAGUAAAUAGGUAGUAAAACAUGGGUGUGGAGCCUUUGCAGGCUCCUUUCUGCUCUGGAGAAUGAAUCAAGUCUAAUACAUGUAGGGGGAAGAUGUUGUAGCAUUGCCUUUUGACAAGUAGUGCCUUUUUUUCUGCCACCAUCAGUGAAGAAAAAAAAAAAAAGGCUCCUUUAUUGUCACCAAUGGCUAUGAUUAACCAGUCUGAUCUGCUAGAUUGGAUUUGUUAUGCUAGUGUUUGCUAGUGACUUAUGGGGCAGUGUACUAUCUCAG
ensembl:lncRNA